rnacentral:rRNA from 1 species
UACGUAGGGAGCAAGCGUUAUCCGGAUUUAUUGGGUGUAAAGGGUGCGUAGACGGGAAUGCAAGUUGGUUGUGAAAUCCCUCGGCUCAACCGAGGAAUUGCAACCAAAACUAUAUUUCUUGAGUGCUGGAGAGGAAAGUGGAAUUCCUAGUGUAGCGGUGAAAUGCGUAGAUAUUAGGAGGAACACCAGUGGCGAAGGCGACUUUCUGGACAGUAACUGACGUUGAGGCACGAAAGUGUGGGGAGCAAACAGG